GAGGUCCUCUUCUCACCCUUGUGCCUGCUCUGCUGUUCGGUGACUCCCAGCUGAGUCAACUCAACUCACCUCAACUCACUAACCUUCAGAAAACUAUCCAGUCUUUUUGGCAGGUUCACCAUCAAAUUAUUUCCAUGAGGUUUCCAGAAAUGAAUGAAGCAUUUCAGUCACAGUUUCACUAGAGAGAGACAGGUCUAGCUGCACAAGGAUCUGUCAUGUGCAAUUUUGUUUACUUCUGCCUGUUUGCUAACCUCCAGCUUCAUCUUUUUGAUACAGGAAGAGACGUAUGGACAACUGGAAUGUUUGAUCUUGACACUCUGACAAAUAAUUAAUUAUUUCACUAGAGAGAGAUGCCCAUCUAAAAACAACAAACCCUCAAAACCAACCUGCCCUAAAAACAGCAACAAAGCACAGUAGCACAGACGAUUCCGAAACAAGACUGCUGUACUGGGACAGA